rnacentral:rRNA from 1 species
CAGUCGCCACGGGAAAACGUAGGGUGCAAGCGUUAGUCGGAAUUACUGGGCGUAAAGCGUGCGCAGGCGGUUUGUUAAGACAGAUGUGAAAUCCCCGGGCUCAACCUGGGAACUGCAUUUGUGACUGGCAAGCUAGAGUGUGGCAGAGGGGGGUGGAAUUCCCGGUGUAGCGGUGAAAUGCGUAGAGAUCGGGAGGAACAUCAGUGGCGAAGGCGGCCAUCCGGGACAACACUGACGCUGAGGCACGAAAGCGUGGGGAGCAAACAGGAUUAGAUACCCCCGUAGUCCCUGUCUCUUAUAC